UACGUAGGCAGCAAGCGUUGUUCGGAGUUACUGGGCGUAAAGAGUGUGUAGGCGGUUCGCUAAGUUUGGUGUGAAAUCUCCCGGCUUAACUGGGAGGGUGCGCCGAAAACUGGCGGGCUAGAGUGUGGGAGAGGGGAAGCGGAAUUCCUGGUGUAGCGGUGAAAUGCGUAGAUAUCAGGAGGAACACCGGUGGCGAAGGCGGCAUCCUGGACCGACACUGACACUGAGGAGCGAAAGCCAGGGGAGCAAACGGG
rnacentral:rRNA from 1 species